AGAGACAUGCAACUCUUUGUCUCUGUAUGUCAUUCAGGACACGGACAAGGAAAACUUGCUAUUUUCUUUAAACAGCAUCCCCUGCUCAAACUCACUCUUCAUUUUACAAUGUUGGAUAGAUUUAAUUUAAUGCUACGUUCUAACACUUCUGUGUAUUAUGUGCAUUAUAUCAGUCUCACUGUAGUGUUGAACUGUUGUGAAAUUGGGUUCAUGUAGGCACGAAUAAGACUUUUGCCAAAGUGGCAGUAUGAUCACCUACCCUUAUGCAAUCCAGCUGAGGCUUUCACAGACAUGUUUCACAUACACAAAUUUAGAGAUGCAGCAACCUAGCUUUUCUCUCCAGAUACCUCAACUCAAGGUAUCUGCUGAUACCAAUUUUCCUAUCUGAUACCAGUGUUCUCUUGUUAAUGUUAAAUCUUGCCCUACAAUUUGAAUCACCAUCCUGCCAUUGAAUGGUAGGGGAAACAGUGACUUUAAUAAUGAUAUGGAUGAAGAAACUGUGCACGGAUAUCUGGCAAUUGCUUAGUGCCAAUACAGAUCAGCGUUGGAUUACCAACUGGCAAAGCAGACAUCCACCUGGAGCCCCAGACCCCCACGGGCCCCAAAAGCCCCAGCUUCACUGUGAAUUGAUUUUAAGUAAUUUGAUAAAAUACAAAUGUAAUCAGUGAAUUUGCUGCACUGUAGUCAUUAUCAAGUAAGGUGGAUCCUACAUUAAGACCUUGUGUCGUGGCUCUACAUUGUAGAAAGUCUAAAAGACUUUUAUUUUUGAUUACCUCGCACUAUGCAUAUGCCUAAAUAAAAGGUGAUGGUGGCGGUCGAUAGGGGCCACCUCAUAGAUUAAUCCAACCGUGACAAAAUCCUUUCAUGACUUCGACUCUUCCUGUUUUAUUAGCUGCUCACUUUAUUGCAGUGGCAAAUAGUGGGUCUGUGUUCAUGGAGCUUUGUAAUGUUAUUCCUUAGACUGAAUAAAAAAUAUUCUGUCGGUG